rnacentral:pre_miRNA from 1 species
AUUCUACUCCCUCCGUUGCACAAUACAUGCCUUCUAUUUGUCAAAAUAUAUAUGUAUCUAGACAUGUUUUAGUAUCUAGGUACAUCCAUUUUUGGACAAAUGGAAGUCAAGUAUUUUUGAACGGAGGGAGUACACA